rnacentral:lncRNA from 1 species
ACAUCCCGCACCCGAGGUUUCCGCCCCGGCGGGGAGACUAGCGCAGCGCGCACACACAACGUCUCUUAAAGGCUCCGCGAGAGGCUUUGGAUGGAAUCGGGGAGUUUGCCUCUCGCAACUUGGCGAUGUCACGAAUUCCGCCGCUCGCGCACCACCCGGGACUCCUGGCGCAUCUUAGUACCCACAAUGCCAAAGAAAAGUUCCCUGGUUUCUUUGCAGAGGGAUAGGGAGUGAGGGUGGGAAGGUGCCACGAACUGAGCUUGUAGGCAUUUUCCAAACGAAAGAGUUGGCCAGAUCCGGGUGAUGGCAAACCCUUCUCUUAAUUAACUCUGAUCACUUGUUCGGUUUGGUGACAUAUAUAUAUGACAUAUAUUCUUUUCAGAGGAUAAAGGCCGUUCUGUUUCUGUUUAUUCCUUGUAGGGUUAACAUUUCACAGGUAUGUGGCCUGACAUUUUAAUUGCCCAAAUAAAGCAUCUCGGAUGCUGAGAAGCAGAAAUAGACUUCAUCUGAUUGUCAUGAUGCAAUUAGAAUCAAUUUUCCUCAACUUUACCCUCUCUCGCUGGUUUUAGCUAACUCUCCAGCCAACAUCCUGCCACACACCCAGUCAUGGUGAGAGGGGAAAGACCUCUGCCCACUGAUGGACAGGAGGAGGCAGCCGCCCAGCCUCCCCUGUGCACACCCUCUGUACACACAUGUAAGCGCACAUGUAUCAGAUGCACAUUUGUCAAUGUACACAGACAAAGACUUCACCGACUAUGCUUCUAGGUCAUAGAACAGUUGAGUACGGACUUCAUUGUUCCUCAAGUUCCUUUUAAGCAUUCAUAUAGUCAUUAAAACGCACCCAGAGAUUCUGCCCCAAAUGGGAAAUAAUACUAGUACAGGUCACAAGAACCAAACCCAAGCCAUAUUCUACCUCAAGAAGUCACUGCAAAAAGAACAACUUCAUAGCCUAUUGCCAUUCUGCUCCAUGUGCUAAAAUAAUUGAGACAGUUGUGUCUUUGAAUUCCAGGGUGUCUGGUUUUAAACAUCAAACAUGUAGAAUUGCUCUCAGAACACACUAUAUUCCAACGCAGUAAACUUGUUGUUUAUGACCAGUUAGUGAAUUAUCAUUAUUCCACAUUUAUACAAGAAAAUUGUGUCUCCUUUGUACACACUUUGCACCAAGAAAAAACCUCAUGCCGGUAAACCAACCAGGUUUGUGAACAAUUAAAAUAUUUUACACAAAAGACGCUGAGCUCCAGGAAAGAAAUGAACACAUAUGAAGAGUAAAUUGAUGACCACAGAAAACAUCCUUGGUAGCUGAAAAAAAAAUUGACAGGGUAAAGAUAUUUUAAAAAUAAACCAUACAUAUAAUUGACAUGCAUAGAUCACAUUUUACAUUCAAUUCUCUUUACACACAUAGGCAGAAUAUGAGGUAAGGACUAAAGAUCUGGGCAGAUAGGGGCUGGUUUUUAGGAAAGGAAAAAUCUUCUUUAAGCUUCAUUCCCGAAACCUCAGCCCUCACUCUUUCUCCGAUGAAAUCACGUAUUUCACUAAAGCUGCAGGUUCUCGGUUUAUUUGAAAGUUGUUAAAAAAAAAAAAAAAAGCCCAGCAAACCUAUAGUGGACACUGAACUAUCAUAAACCUGGUGUGUAAUAAGAUUGCCACAGAAUGAAGCCAAGCUGAGAAUUUCAGGUUAAUUAGAGACACAAUAUAACUUUCUCCUAAAGAGGAUAAGAAGGAUGGAAAAGAAAUCAUUACACAGGAGAAGGUUUUUGGUAGUUGUUGUUGUUUUCCCUUCCAACCUCUAUGAUUCAGGAAUUGCUAAUGUUACAAAUGUCAGCAGAUUCGGGACAAGCUCAGCUGAGAUGUGAUGAGACUGGGGUUGAGAUAGGAAAUCUAAUGGGCAUUCCCAUCUCAAUAGAGGAUGAAAAUAAUUGAUUAUAGGGAAAUCUUCAUCUCACCUCCUGAAUGAGACUUCCAUAGCAGAUUACCUUUUACAAACAUGGGAAGGAACAAUAUCGAGGAGGAAGAGCUUCCCCAGUCCACUUAGAGAUUUUUGGAAUUUGAAGUAUGCGUGAUGGCCUUAGAUUAAAAUGGAAUAAUUUCCCAACCAUAUCUUAACAAAUUGGAGCCUGCUAGGCAAAUGAUCACAGGGCUGCCAUAAAGUCAGGGGUGUUUCACUCUGUAUUUUAGGACUCAUUCAGUUAUGAAAUGCUGUUACAAGGGAGAAAAAAAAUCACCGUAUGAAUUAUACUUAAUUUUAAUGCAUAGAAGAAGAGACAAGACUACAGACUGAGAAGAAAAAAGGGCAAAAAUAUUUUUAAAUGUCUUCUCCAGAGAUGCUCACUUGCUGUGCGUCUAAGGUUAAAAAGCUCUGAGAAGAUAAAAUCAAUAUAUUAUUGUUGUUUUUUAAAAAUCCAACUCAGUCUUUUUUUGCAGAUGUAAAUUUAUUAUAAUGAGAAGAAUGGCAAGCUUUAAUUUGCCUAGAGAAAGUUGGGACAACAUUUGCCCUAAUCUAAAAAAGAAAAGAAAGAAACUCAACACCCAGGAAUAUAAUUUUCUUGCAGAAAGUGGCCUGAUGGGCUGUAUUUCUUUACAGAUUGAAUCACAAUAUGAAUACAGACCCCAGCAAAUGCCGAGUUUAACUCUGAACUCAGUAGAAACCAGUUCCGUCCUCCAGGAUUCAUUGAAUUCCUCCUUUCCCUCAAUCUAGUCCGUGUGUGUUUUUCUCUUCCACCACACUGGAGCUCCAUGAAUAGGGAAAGGGGCUUCCAUUGUGUCCCUCUGAACUUCCAAGUCAAUGCAAUUUUUAACCACUGGCUUGUGGUACUUUGAAAAUCACCAGGGGCUGUCAGAGUUAGGUCCUCUGAAAAAUUUACAGUGCUAAAUCAGAGCAUAUGCUGGGAGGGAAAAAAUUGCUUAAGAUUAGAGCAAGUACAGUAUCUGUCUGCCCCCUAGUGUAAGAGUCCUCGCUGCCUAAAAUUCAACUUUAAAAGAAAAGGAGCUCUUAAAGGGAAACGACUUUGGACUCACGUAGGCAUAGGAGAACGAAACUUCUGUACAUUUUAAUCUGAAUAAUUCUUCAGGAUUUAAAAUUAAUUGGCUCUGGCUUGGUUGGACCGUACUCGGAUCUCGCCACCUCUGCGUUUCCCGAGUCACUGGCGAAGAGGUCCCAGUUCCUCUGGGAAUCGUCCUGUAUGCAACAUCUUCACAAGAGUGGCAGGCAGUUGAAUCUCUGGCCUUCGUGGGACCACUGGACAUCUGGCAGAGAACCAGGAAACCACGGUUCCCUUCUGUGAGUCCCUCAGCCGGAAAACUACAAGCUCCUCAUGCAGCUGCUGUCUACAGACCCCCUGGACUGCCUGGGGAAGUGAGUCGGAGCUCCUGCAGCAGAGGGGUGGAACAGCUACACGAAGAUCCGAAGGUGGCCAAAAAUAACAGCGCUUUCCAGAUGAGGGAGCCAGUUGUCCAGCACAGUGUCAUGGGACAGUGGGCCCUGGUGCCACAAUGCCCGGCAUCUCCACCAGAUACAGCUUUGAGAUCUUCAUGAUGAAGCUUGCUCCAAUCCAAGGGCUGUCAGGUGGGGUUUGCGGUUCAGCUGCUAACCUUUCUUUGAUCCAAAUCCUGUCUUCACUGGCUUCAAGAAUCCUGUCUUCACUGGCUUCAAAACUGGGAUGAAGGAGGCUCCUUAGUGGAGAGCAAAGCAAAGAGAAACUCAAAUUGGAUCCAUAUUAAAGAAGAGAAGGAUGGAUUUGUUUAGACAACACAAACCUAGGAAGGGUUUGAGAGGUGAAACAAACUGGGUUAUGGAUGAACGGGGGCAAUUGGAAUGUAGAAUUGAAGCAGUAAUUAACAUCUUGAUGAGUGUAAGGCCAUUAUCAUGGACUUUUUCCCCAGCUGCAGGGUUAUCUACAACUCCGGGUGGAAGUCAAAGAUUGGAAGAGGAUGACCUCUGAUCCUGGAACUGCAUUGCUUGGUGGUCAGGAGGGGUUCUUAGUAAGCAAACUCAGUUUAAUCCCAGAGUCGGAAGUGGGUGUCAACAAGCCAAAGCAACAUCCUUUCAGCUCUGCUGCUUUUUUGUCUUGGUGGAGGAAUAGCCAAUGGAAGAAGAUGGAGAGUCCGGACCAAAAAAAAAAAAAAAAGAUGAGGUAAAGUAGCUACACUUGUGUACAUAAGGAACCAUGUAAAAGUAUGCUAUGUAUGUAUGUAUUUAUUUAUUGUUUUGAGACAGGGUCCUGCUCUGUCACCCGGGCUGGAGUGCAGCGGCAGGAUCUCGGCUCACUGCAACCUUCACCUCCCGGGUUCAGAUGAUCCUCUCACUUCAGCUUCCUGAGUAGCUGGGACUGCAGGAAGGCCCCACCAUGCCUGGCUAAUUUUUGUAUUUUUAGUGGAGACAGGUUGCCAUGUUGCCCAGGAUGGUUUCGAACUUCUGAGUUCAAGUGAUCCUUCCGCCUUGGCUGGCCAAAGUGCUGGGAUUAAAAGUGGGAGCCACCGGGCCCGGCCAUUUUUUUCUAUCCACGUCUUUUUCACUGCUGUGUCUGAGAAAUUUUACACGCUCUCAUAUAUGUAGCUGAAAUGAUGCAGGAGUUCCCCGGCACCAGCCGCUUGGUACUCUCAUUUAUUAAUAUCAAUAAAUCAAUGAAGCCAGGUUGCAAGGCAUUCUUAGGUAUUCAUUCACCAUGCUAGGACCGCAUUGCCUGGAGCUCUUCAGCAGUUUUUCACUGCAAGGCCUUCACACAAGCUAGUCCCUCUUUCUGGAACAUUCCUCUCCACGUUUUGCACGGCCUAUUCCCUCGCCUGGUUCAGAUCUCUUCCCAAUUGUCCUUUCUCCUCCAGCUUUCCUUGAUCCCUUCAUCAUUCUUUCCUCUAUUUGUAUUUAUUUAUUUUUGUUCAUUGUUUUCUUCCCUCCUCUAGAAUGCCCAUUUCAAGAACGAAGGGAAUUUAUUUUGUUUUCCCUGCUGUGCCUCAAUGCCUAGGACAGUGUGAAGAACAUAGAAGGUGCACAACUAAUAAUUUAUUCACUGAAUUAACAGGGCCAGGGUGUUUUUGUUACUUGUUACAGAUGUGUGUGUAACAUUUUCAAAGCCUUGGAAGUUAUUAAAUCACUUUCCCGCAUUUUAUAUGCAAGACUCCUAUUAUUCUUAAUAAGAGUCAGCUGUACAUCUAGACUGCAUUAAAAAAUAAGCAAAACUACAUUUUCCUUGGCCUUGUAAACAAUCCCACAUGGUAUAUGGGCCAAAAAAGGAAAAUUAACAAAAAAGGGAGAAUGUACCAAACCAUAUUCAGUUAGUAAAAGGGGAUGUUUUUCCAUAUUCUUAAAUGAAGAUCUUUUACCCAAUAUAUCCAGUCUCUCAUAAACCAUGAAAUGAAGUGACUGGGUAUCAGAACUAAUUUUCAGAAGAAAAACUGUCAUCUUUAAAGCAGUAAAAUCUUCAUAAAACUGUGUAAACUAAUUACUGGGUUAAGUAAAAUCACUGAAAUAUAUCAGGACCUUCAAAUGUCUCCAGGGCAGACAUAAUAUAGUAAUUCUCUAAUAGUCACUCUGGGGAGAUACUGUAAUGGGCGGGAUGAAGUCAUUGUAAUAUUCUCAUUUAGUUUGGGUCCUGAGACUUAUAAAGAGAAUACCGGUGGCAGACUGCACAUACGGAAGAGAUGCCUAUUUAUUUCACAUGAUACUAGCUGGCCUUUCCAGGCUGUGGAUCAUGAGCUCAGGGGAGCCCAAUGGAGAUGGGCAUACUCAUUUGUUCUGCAGAGAAGAUAUGCCGAAUGUUUCUUCUCAUCCCUCCUCAUCAAAGAGAGUGGAAAAUAUUUUGUGUACAGUAUUUUUUGCUUUAGGUUAUUUAGAAGCCUUAUGUAUAUUAGGUUUUUACAUGUGAGCAAAUAACUAAAAACAAGAGCAGGACCUACCAGAAGCUUCAACAGAACAGACAGACCAUGGAAGACCUCAUGUUCUUUUGAAUUAGUGAAAAGCUAUAUAGUUUAAGUAGGUAUCUUGGUAAUCUAGGAUAAAUCACAAGGAUUGGGUAAACUCAAUGGAAUAUUGAAGGUUUAUUUUAUUAGGUAAUUUUAUAUACAUUUAGGCCACGUGCAGUGGCUCAUGCCUGUAAUCCCAGCACUUUGGGAGGCCAAGGCGAGUGGAUCACUUGAGGUCAGGAGUUUAAGACCAGCCUGGUCCAACAUGGUGAAACGCCAUCUCUAUUAAAACUACAAAAUUUAGCUGGGCAUGAUGGCACUUGCCUGUAGUCCAGCUAUGCUGGAAGCUGAGGCAGGAGAACUGCUUGAACCCAGGAGGCAGAGGUUGCAGUGAGCCAAGAUCACACUACUGCCCUCCAGCCUGGGCUACUGAGUGAGACACCGUCUAAAAAAAAAAAUAUAUAUAUAUAUAUAUAUAUGUAUAUAUAUCUGUAAUGUGACAUUGUUUUCUCAAACCUCAGACUAAUCUUAUGCUCAAUAUGGAAGAUAAUCAUAACUCAUCACUCUGGAUUAUAACUGCUUACAUAUGUCUUUCUUAUGAGAUAAUGCACCUUGAAGGUAAGGACUUCACUUUAUUUGCUUCAUUCUCCAGUGUCCAAUUUGUGGAAUGAAUGAAUGACCCUUAACAGAAACCUGACUGUGAUUCCCUUCACUAUUAACUUUUCCUAGAGUUAUGAAUUCCAGUUAGAAAUUUGUUCAGAAAAUCACUUGUCCUUAGGAAUAUAAUUUCACAAGACACACAAGUUGAUUUCCUUAUAGUCUAUCAUGGUGAUUUCUACCCUGGCUCAAGGCUGUGAUUCAUGAAGAAGAGUGGUAGGAACCAGACUUCUUAAAAGUGGUGAGCAUCAGGCCACAAUCUCAGAGGAUAGUGUAUGAGGAGUAAAAUUGGGAAGACACAUUCACAUUUACCCAAAUGGCUUGCACAUUAAAAGCUGUACACCCUCCCCAACUCCAAUUAACUCAGAGGGAAAUCUUUGGGCGGGUUUGGUUCUCUCCAAUGUGUGUGAGCCUGCAGUUGCCUGGCUGGCUCCUGUGUCCCUUUGGAAUUGAUAAUGAGGUUCAAGAGAGAGGAAUAGUCCUCACUAAGCAUGUCACCCCUAUUUAGCACCUUUUCCAGGAUGGCAGCCACUAUUGUUUUAUUAUGUCUCUGAUCAGCUGUCACUAUUCAUAAAGUAAUCACUGCCAUUAACACAUCACGCCUCAAGCCAUCUGCUGCAGCAUGGCACACACAGAGCUGUUGGUUGCAAGCAAAGCAGGUGUCACCUAAAAAUGACAGUACCACAGUAAAGGUGGGAGGUCAUCAUGGUGAAAGAGGAUAUGUCACGUCAAGUAACUCUAUUUUUUGAUGUAUUAUAGUGCAAUGAGCAAUAGUAUUUCUUGCUCAAUUUGCAGAGGCUAAAAUUAAAACUUCUUAUUUGAGAUACUUUUUUUCAAUAUUGGUAAGUCAUGGAGACAAAAAAUGUCAUUGAAGUUCUUAAAACAAUAGCAUCUAGAUUGUGAAUGAACUCUUGCAUUAAAUUUGCAGUCAAGUUUAAAGCAUUCUUGAAGAGAUCUGAUCCAUCAAACCUUUAUUUGACAAGUGUUUAUUGAGCACAUAUUAAGUGACACUGACAUGUGGCUGGCCCACCCGAAAUAUACAGUUGCUACGUAAAACAAAAAUCACAAGUAAUGUGUACAGUGGAGAUUCCUGAUCCCAGCUGCAUUUUUGACCCUUGGUCAGUCCCUAACACUUAUCUUGAUUUUGGAUAAUUUUUUGGAUAGUUUUCAGUUUUAACAGGAUCCAUAUUGAUUGGAUUUUCUGUGGAUGUGUUGGAAAAUAAGCUUGCAUUGGAAAAAUACAAUGAUUUCAUAAAGUCUGUUAAGAAGGACAAUAUCUUUAUAGGACAAUUAGUUCUCUUGACCACCUUCAUUGUAAAGGGGCUUUAUAUUUAUACAACUGAGAGAGGAGAUAGGAAUUUAAUUGAAGAUCUUAAAUGCUGAUAGAAAGUGGGACAAGGGAUCAUAAUUGGGUUCAACUAUCUUUCUAGCCCCUUCCCCUCCUGCAUAUACACUGGAAUUGCAUCCUUAGCUUAACUUCAGAAAAUUCAUGUAUUUAUCCUUGGCAAAUAUACACACUUAUACAUCUAUAUGUAUAUGUAAAAAAUUAACUAGGGUAGUUAAUAAUUCUACCCUCCAUUUUAUUGCAUGAGUUUCUGCUCUUUUCCUGGGAGUGAGAAGUAUUGGAUGAGGGUUUGGAUCUUCUAGCCCAUCAGUUACUCUUAGCAACAUCACCCAUCCUUUCCUACUGGUGAUGAGAGCAUCUUGCUGCAUGGGUGGUGGUUCUCAGGUGUAUACAACAAGUACUCUUCUCCAUGAUGCACAUGUCCACACAUCCUGUAUGCUACUGCUGGUUUAAGGGAUUUUCAAGGGUCAAUUCAAUAGUACAUUUAGAAAUUAACUUCUGUGAAACAUGCUACUCAAUUACAAACCAAUUGAGGAAUGCUACAUAACCCCAAAGUCUAUAGAAAGCAAAGAUAUCCAUCUUCUAUUGAUAUAGAAGAUAUCUAUAAGAUAUCUAUAUAGGGAUCUCUCAACUACUUUUGAAUCCAACUUUCUUUUGAGAAUCAAAAAUCUCAGGCUCUCUCCCUAUCCCUGAAGAUUUAUAGAAUCAUCUGUUGUAACCAAAAAAAUAAAAUCGAGCUUGAAUUUUUGUGCAUUCAGAAAAAUGUCUUUUAUUAUUUUUUUCAAAUUCUAUAAUGAUCUAUAUGCUUUUCAAAAUGGGUCCCCUUUCUCCCUGGGGAUUAUGAUAUGCCCAAGCAUAAGAGGCAUUUUAACUUUAAGGAUGAUAUUUGUGAAUCUGGGAUGCAUGCUUUUCAAGAUACCAGUGAAGCAGCAGAGGAUGAGCAAGCAGAAGUGUCUCCUGAUGACUGAUGGCCCUUUCUUUUUUUUUUCUUUUUUUUUUUUGAGAUGGAGUCCCAGCUCGGUCACCCAGGCUGGAGUGCAGUUGUGCAAGCUCAGCUAACUGCAACCUCUGCCUCCCAGGCUCAAGUGAUUCUCCUGCCUCAGCCUCCUGAGUAGCUGGGAUUACAGGUGCCCACCAUCACGCCCAGCUUAUUUUUGUAUUUUUAGUAGAGACGAGGUUUCACCAUGUUGGCCAGACUGGUCUCGAACUCCUGACCUCAAGUGAUCUGCCUGCCUCGGCCUCCCCAAGUGCUGGGAUUACAGGCAUGAGCCACCGCACCUGGCCUGACAGAUGGCCCUUUCUAAGGAGACUGAGGUGGUACAUUUGUGAUUACCAGAUACGAUAGAGUUGAUAUUGACCGUUGCACUAGUGACUUAAUAGUUUUUAUAAAAAGCCCCAAAAUUGUUUGAUAUUUCAUUUGCAUCAAAAUGUUGUAGCUCAAAUGGCUUUAUCAGAUUGGCUCCUUAAAAUAUCAUGUGCCCUUGUUCUAGGCGCAGAAGGAACACAAAGACAAAGACAAAUGGUUCUUGGGUCCUGCCCUCAAGGCACUUACAGUCCAGUUUCAGUUUUAGAAGUUCAACCAAGAACAUGGCUAAUGGCUGGUAGAGAUUGUACUGACUAUUAUACCACUUCUCCUAAAAUAUUAUUUUGGUUGAAAUAAUAAAAUGUAGAUUCUAAACAAAAUAAAAUAAUAUUUUACUGCAUUUUUCUGUGAAAGAAAUGGGGGAAUCUUGGGAUUUCAAGAUAAUCCAACAAGCUGAGUAGGGCUGGCCAUAGGUUUGGAACUCAUGGAGAUCACAGUGGAAACCCAGGAAACAUUCUCCUGAGGGCUGCGUCUCCAUUAAUGUUUUCUGCCUAAGGAAUGUGCUGGCUCUGGCUCUAUGGGUAAACAGGAGGGUGAAGAGGAGGCUGACUGAGUUAAAGACAUCAGCAGGUUGGGAACUAUUAACACUGAGGAUCAUCUUUCUGUUUUUAUUUUCCAGACAGGGUCUCACUCUGACUCCUAGGCUGGAGUGCAUCAUGGGGCUCUGCAGCCUCAACCUCCCAGGACCAAGCGGUUCUCCCACCACAGCCCCUCGAGUAGCUGGAACCACAAAUAUUCAUCACCCCACCUGGCUAACUUUUUCGUUUUUAUUUUUUAUAGAGACAAGUUCUCCCUAAGUUGCCUAGGUGAGUCUUGAACUCUUAGGCUGUAGUCAUCCUCUGGCCUUGGGCUCCCAAAGUGCUGAGAUUACAGGUGUGAGCCACUGCACCUGGCAGUUGAAGAUUAUAUGCGGAUCACCUAGGUCAGGAGUUGGAGACCAGCCUGACCAACAUGGUGAAACCCCAGGGGCUUUACUAAAAAUACAAAAAAAAAAAAUAGCUGGGCGUGGUGGUGGGCACCUGUAAUCCCCCCUUCUCGGGGGUCUGAGGCAGGAGAAUCACUUGAACCAGGGAGGCAGAGGUUGCAGUGAGCCAAGAUCACACCACUGCACUCCAGCCUGGGCGACAAGAGCGAGACUCCGUCUCAAAAACAAAACAAAACAAACAAACAAAAAAAAAAAAACAGAAAAAAAAAAGACGGUUAUAAUGGGACCAUAUUUUUACCAUCCCAUUUAUAUGUUUAGGUAUGUUUAGAUACACAAAUACCAUGGUGUGACCAUUGUCUACAUCAUUCAGUACAGAAAUAUUUGUACGGAUCUGUAAUCUGCACAAAUCUGUACAAAUAUUAGCCUGUACAGAUUUGUAGCGUAGAUGCAGUAAGCCAUACCGUGUAGCCUAGGUGUAUUGUAGGCUACGCCAUCUAGGUUUGUGUGACUACACUUUUUUUUUUUUUUUUUGAGAUGGCGUUUUGCUCUUGUUGCCCCCAGGCUGGAGUGCAGUGGCAUGAUCUCGCCUCACCACAACCUCCGCCUCCCAGGUUCAAACAAUUCUCCUGCCUCAGCCUCCUGAGUAGCUGGGAUUAUAGGCAUGUGCCACCAUGCCUGACUAAUUUUGUAUUUUUAGUAGAGACGGGGUUUCUUCAUGUUGAGGCUGGUCUCGAACUUCUGACCUCAGGUGAUCCACCUGCCUCGGCCUCGCAAAGUGCUGGGAUUACAGGCAUGAGCCACCACGCCUGGCCGUAUAGCUACACUUUUUGAUGUUCACACAAUGACAACAAAAUCACAUAACAUUUCAUGUCUCAGAAUGUUUCGCAAUCAUUAAGUGACUCAUGAUUGCACUUAAUCUCUCUGGUCUGUAAAAUAAAGACAACCAGAAGACCUACUCCAAAGGAUUGUUGGGGUGAUAAUAUAAUGCUUAAAAUUAAUACUAUAAAAUAACGUAAUACAAAAUAUUUAUGAUAUUUAUAAAUACAGACAUAAAAAUAUAGUUUUACUUAUGAUAAUAUUUCUUUUUUUUCUUUUUUUGAGACAGAGUCUUGCUGUUACCCCGGCUGGAGUGCAGAGGAGCGAUGUCGGCUCACUGCAACCCCUGCCUCCUGGGCUCAAGUGAUUCUCCUGCCUCAGCCUGCCGGGUAGCUGGGAUUACAGGAGCCCACCACCAUGCCCAGCUAAUAGUUUUUGUAUUUUUAGUAGAGACAGGUUUUCACCUUGUUGGCCAGGCUGGUCUUGAACUCCUGACCUCAAGUAUCCUCCCACCUCGACCUCCCCAAGUGCUAGUAUUACAGGCAUGAGCCACUGUGCCCGGCCUACUUAUUAUGAUACUUCUAAGCGUGAUAAAGCACUUAUACGUCUAGCACACAACAAAUCCUCAAUAAAUGUAAUGUACGAAUGUGGCAGAUUAAGAGAAAAAGCCAAUGAAAUAAAGCUGCAAUACUUGCAUUUAGAAAAUACUAUAGGAAUAGGACAGAAGGCUUGGCUGACUGAAAGGAGGAAUAUAUUAAAGGAAAUGUCUUAAGAGUAGGUGACAUUUGAAUUGGCUAGUGAAAGAGAGAGAGAAUAGCUUGCUAGGGGAAGUAUGAAGAGCAACGUUUUGGACCAUGAAAGGGAAGGAACCAACUGCUUUCUUCCUUCAUUCCUCCCACUGAAGUGUUUUUCUCAGUUUGUCUUAAAUCUCACUUUAUGGGUUCUUCAAACAAUUUGCCCAUUUUUGUGUUUACCUGAGUAUCAGAUCUGUCACGUAGAUUUUCUUUAUGGAGACUCACACAUUUAAAAAAGACUCUCAUAAACAUCAUUGUUUAGUAUUAGUAUAGUUAAUCAUUUUAUACCUUAGGCUUACAAUAUAAUGAUUUUAAGGUUUUACUCAUCCAAAAUCAACUUCUCCAGCCUCCCUUACUAUUAACUCACUCUUUGUAUUUAAUUUAUUAUUCAGUUUUCUAUUUCUUUGGACUGAGUGGGCAUGGGAAAUAGAAUGGGAGAGGAAGCACGUAAUUAGAAAAUAUUGUACAAAGCUGCUGGCUAUUUUAUGUAGAAAAUGAAAUUUGAGACCUCAGGAUGCAAAAUUAAUAUGUAAGAAUUUCAUCACUUUGUUAGAAGAUGCAAUCGGAGUUCAUCCAAUAUACUGUCAGAGACUUGGUGGAUAUUUGUCAAUUUUGUUUGUUAUUCAGGAGGAAUACCUGGAUUUUCUCUGAGGGAGUCAUCCCUGCUUGGUCUCGGUCUACGUGGUUUAUGUGGUGCUUUGCCAAGUCCACUCCCUAUCCACCUUCCAGUCUUAAGCAGGGGGAAUAGCUCAAGCUCAGCCACUCAGGCUUUCCCUUCCGGGAAGCUGAAUUCCGAGUGGUGAGACACAAAAGUGGGAAUAUGCUUGGAACAGAUUCUUCCUGUGAGCAGAACCUUGAAGAGGCUGUUUAUUCAUUCCUGCUACCUGGAGCCCUGAAGCUGUCUGGUUCCCAUCUUUGUUCUGUCACGAUCUGAGCGUCCAGCUUUUGGUUUCUCUGAGCCGCUCCAUAUCCUUCCAAUCAUUUUCCUCUUUUCUUUUGCUUCAUUUAGUCAGAGUUUAACUGAUAGUCUAAGUGAUAGAAUAAAAAUGUGAACACAGAAAAAAAUAUCACUAGAUGACAGCUGGGAUUACUAGACAGCAUUUUCUCACUGGACAUGUGUUUUGAAAGCACAUACCAGCACCAGGCACUGUUCUAGGCACUUGAGUCAGUGACAAACAAAACAAAAUAUUGAGAACAAUAGAUGUGGCUGGGCACGGAUUCACAGGCUCGUGCCUGUAAUCGCAGCAUGUUGGGAGGCCAAGGCGGGGGGAUCGCCUGAGCCCAGGAGUUUGAGAACAAUAGAUGUUCUAACAAAUAUUUGUUGUUGGGCUUUCAGGAGCUAAAUGAAUGGGCUAAUGACAUUUGUUCAACCUUAAGAUAAUUUUUAUAUGACCCUCUGUGAGAGGUUCUAAUAAUUCUUUUUUUAACAAACGAAUAAGAAUAUUAACAACAAUCUAGGUAAAUAUUUCGAAAGAGUUCUUCCUUUGGAAAAAGCAAGCCGAGUGUUGAUUUAAAUUUCUCAAUGAUCAAAGUGUUAAAGUAAUAUGUUUUGAAUAGAGCCAUCUAUAAAACAUACCCAUAUAAACAACAAAACUUGUAAAUGUGUAAUGGGCAAAAGUAAUAAAACUAUUGAAAUAAUGCAUUUUCCUCAUACCAACUCUAUCCAUUAAUUUUUUACAGUUUUCUACCAUGUAACAUUACCCUUCAUAAAAAUGAUAUUUUAAAAUGAGAUGGGGUUGGUAAAAGAAACAAGGGGUAAUAAUGGAAGGAGGAUUGCAAAGCUGUGCUCUGCUGGAUGAGGGAGAAGGGAAAAUAGAAUUCAUUUGGGCUUUCUGUGAGCCAGAGGCCAUGGUCUGUAGCCUUUAAAGGGAUGAGCAAUGCGCAGAGCCAAGGAUUUUUAUAUCUUUAUUUUGAUUAUUUGUUUCUUUUCUCUAAAGAAAUCAAGCACAAGCUAUUUAAAAUAAUGAAAGUCACUUCAAUAUAAUACUUUAUAAGCAAAUUUGUGAAUCUCUCAUGUAUUAAACAUUUAAAAAUUCUUCAUGCAUUCUUGGAUGGGUUGUAUAAAAUCUAAAUGUAAUAUGAUGGUAUUCUUGCAUGAGGCAACUUGGUGCAGUCAGAGGGACAUAGAUUUGGAUUCAGACGGAUCUGAGUUCUAAUCCUGACUCUGCUCUAUUCAAGUUAUUUGACCUCUAUGUAACUAUUUCUUUACCUGAAAAGUAGAGAAUAUAACUCCUAGCAAGUAGUGGGUACUCAAGAUAAGAUGGUUUUCUGGCCAGGUGUGGUGGCUCAUGCCUGUAAUCCUAGCACUUUGGGAGGCUGAGGUGGGUGGAUCACCUGAGGUCAAGAGUUCAAGACCGGCCUGGCCAACAUGGUGAAACCCCAUCUCUAUUAAAAAUACAAAAUUAGCCAGGUGUGGUGGCAGGCACCUGUAAUGUCAGCUACUCGGGAGGCUGAGGCAGGAGAAUUGCUUGAACCUGGGAGGUGGAGAUUGCAGUGAGCCAAGCUCAUCAUGCCAUUGCACUCCAGUCUGGGUGACAGAGCAAGACUCCAUUAAAAAAAAAAAAAAAAGAUGGUUUUCUUCCACUGCCUUCAUCCUUCAUUCUGAUAAUACUUCAAAUUAUGAAAGAUUAGCUUAUUUGCAACUAGAGGCCAUUACAGUAUUAUUAAGAGACCCACUCAAAAUGCUUAAUAUCAUUUGAUAUUAUGUGUCAACUAAGUAAAAAUGUACAUGCUUGCAAUUCCUAAAAAUGAAAUAAAUAAAAGGUUGAAAUUUUUACACUUACAUUAAAAUGAGAAUCCAUACUGUAGCAUAAUUUUGGAAAAUGGAAUUAUCUGGGAUAUGAAUGCUUUAUUUCUCCAUUUAUUCAACAAACCCCGAGCACCUGUUAAACUCUUGGUCCCAUGAUAGGCAUUUAGAAUACAAAGAUAAAUCUUUGUAUUCUAAUACAAAAGAAUACAAACAUGAUUCUGAAUUUCAAAAAGUUACUUCACCCUCUUCCAUGGUGAAGACCACAAGCAGAGAAUUAAACGCAGAAAUGUAGGAUGGAGUGCCUUAUGGGAACAAUGGGGAGGGUCACCUCAUUGGUGAGUGUGGGGUGUCAGGGGACACGGGAGUUUUCCAGCAGAGGUGGUGGUGAAGGUAUGUAUGUCAAGCCUUAGGGAAUGAGUUGAAGUUAUCUAGGUGGAUUAGGUGGGGGAGACUAGAGUAAGAGGACAUUCCAGAGAGUGAAGCAGGAAAAUCAGAGGGAGAUGAACCCACAUGGUAUGUGUACGUGUGUGUGAGGUGUGUGUGUGUGUGUGGGGGGGGGGGGGUAAGAAAGUCCCAGCAAUCAAUGUUAUGCUGCACAGAGCUAGAGGUAGGGGCAAUGAGAGUGAUGCUACUGGAGAGGCAGGCAGGGGCCAGUUCAUGGGUGUUUUCUUUCCCAGGCCAAAUUGCUUAAGCUUUAUGCAGAAGGACAAACGAUGGCUUGGGCACAGCUGAAAUACCUCUGCUCACACCUGUGUGAAGAAUAACAAUUAGGGUGGUAAAGCCCAUUAGGAAAUGGGUAAUGUAGUCUGUGGUCCGGGGCCAGGCUGUAAGGGCUUGAAGGAGGUCAGGUUCACUGGGACACAGAACAGUGGGAGGGCUGGGUGGUUGGUGGCAGAUAGGGGUGAGCUCAGGCGCAGAAGGAAGAGAGAGAAUCCAGGCUGACUCUCAGCUCUGGAGUGUGGUACCUGACGUGGUGCCACCAUCCAAGAUAGGGAAUACAUGGACAUGAAUAAGGGUUAUGGUCCAAGUUUAGGCAUUCAGUGAAAUCAAACUGUGAGUAUCUUAAGAAUUGGGCUGACUGUGGGUUUUUCAAUACCUUGGUGAAAUUUUCUUAAAGGGAGCUGCAUUGACCACUUCUCCUGGUGCAUGCAGAAGGCCUACUAUGGAGUGACCAUGGAGAUGAUAAGACAAAAAUAAGCUUUCACUCUGCUCCUUAGUAGCUCUGGGAUAGUGGGCAAGUCACUUUAGCACUCCAGAUUUCUUGUCCCUCAUUGAGAGAAUAAGUAGGUUUGACAAAUAACCUCUAGUUAAACAACUAGUCUUAUUUGGUUCACUAAAACCAUGUAAUGUGGUUCUCCUUCCCCAUUCGUUGGUUAACAGUAAACACCCCCCACCCCCCGACACACUGUGCAAAAGUUUCCAUCUCCCAAAUGUAUGAGGCAUUUGAUAUUUGAUGUCAUAAACGGGUUUUUCUUAACUCCUAUGAAUAUUCUUAGCUCCUUCUCGUCAGGAAUCGCUUGCAGCUCUUAGAUGAUGUGAAUCACCUCCAAAGCAUUUGUUUUCCAACAUUCAAAUGCAUUUUUUGAAAACGAACAUCAGCUGUUAACCAGAGCUUUCCCAGGUGCAGCAGAAACCCUCUUCCACAAGGCUUUACCUCCCUUCCCUACUCAGUAAACUGCCCAAUCCAAACAGGGGGCCACUUCUGGGGCAGUAGCUUCUGACAUGAAAGAAUGCAUUCAAGUAAAACAAUGUGUUUUUCAAAUUAGCACACAUAACAAAAAAAUAUGUAUUUACUUAGUACGCCUUAAUGGCUUUCGAAGAGCCAUUAGGCUCAACUGAGUGAAUAUUCCGUGUAUUACCAAAAUAUGCACAAUGUAUCCCCAAACAGCCAUUUUACCUGUAAAUAUAACAAGACAAGCUCAUUUCUCUUUGAAUUUUCCUUUGCUCCUUUCUAAGUAAUUUUCUUAGCCCAUUUGAGAGCAAAGGGAGACAUUUUUUCAAGGUUUGGGUGUUUGCUUGCUUCAUUCCAAAGUUCAGGGUAUAACUGAGAAGUGUGUUCAUCUACUGUUGAGUGGCCUAAACGAGGGAGCAUUCUAUCUGGUUAAGACCUGCUAAAGUUUCCUUAUUAACAGAGACACCAGCAAAGAGUAAGUAGCCUAAGGAGAUUAAUGUAAAACGUCUGCAGGAUAGAAAAAUUGCUUUAGAAACAAAAUAAUACACCCUCUACCCCCCAUGAAUUAGUACUUGAGGCACUUUAAUUGGACAAACUCAGUGUUUAGAUCAGGAGUCUGUCCAAUUGCUAUCUGUGACCAGAGGAAGCAGAAGCAAAGGGGUUAAUAGUUGCUGACAAUUUUUUUUAAACAAGCAGUUUUAUUGCAGAAAUGGGAGUUGAACCGGAACAUUCACAAUCAGAAUGAAAGGGCAGGCAGGCAGAUCUGGAAAACUCACCAUUGUAUGUGAAAAGGAAAGUUUUCAUGGAUUUUAGAGAGGCCAAAGAAAAGGGCUUAUUUUAUAUUUGAGAAUAUAGUUUAAUUUAGAUUUUUAAGGACCAGUCACCCAACAUUGGAAAUCCAUAUAUAAUUCUCUGGAGAAAUGCAGCAAUGCCUCCAUUUGAUCAUGGUAAGGAAAGCAUUCAUAUCUGACAAUACCUUAUGCAAUGCUUAUAAGACAUAUGUCUCUUGGUGGUUUCAUGAGAAGUAUGUGCAAUUUAAUGUGUUGACCUUUAUUUCUAAAGAAUGAUGUUGUUUACCUACUAUCUUAGAGAUUAUUGUUCCACCUUGAACAGUGAAGGUGAAAGGGUACCAAUCAGCCAGUGUGUAUCUUCUGACAAUUUCCAGAUUUUUAUCUAGAGACAUCCGGCAGCAGAGAAUCAUUCAUGACUGGCAUGUUAUAGUAAAAAGAACACUGCACUUGGGAGUUAGAAGAUAGAAUUCAAAGUCUCAGCUGGCACCUGUAAUCCCAGCUACUUGGGAGGCUGAGGCACAAGAAUCACUUGAACCUGGGAGGUGGAGGUUGCAGUGAGCCGAGAUCACGCCACUGCACCCCAGCCUGGGAGACAGAGCAAGACUCUGUCUCAAAAAAAAAAAAUUACAUGGCCAUGGGGAAAUAGUUUCUUCCAAUAGUUCGCAAACAUUACUGUACAACGAAACCGUCUGUUGAGCGUUAUAUAUGCACAUAUACACCUGGACCAUCCUCCUGAAAUUCUAGCUCAGUAGGUCAGAGAUUGGUCUCUAUAUUGUCUAAAAGCAGCCGGGGUCAAUAACUACUAAUACAUCCAACACACUUGAGUGUCCUCAUUUGUAAAAUGGAAACAACAUUUUCUAUUCAGCGUAGAGGAUUGUUGCAAAGACUAAAUACAAUGAUACAUUUAAGACACUAGUGCAAUGCUUAGAAGAGGGUCCCUUAUUUUUCUUCCAAUGGGCCAUGGUUGUUCUAGUUCAGAGCUCCUCAAAGUGAAUUCUAAGGAGCAAUAACCCCACGAGAUGGUCUAUGGAAAAACUGUGUACCAUCAAUCAUAUUUGGCAGCUGCACAUUACAUUCCCUUCCAGACUGUUAAUGGGACCAUUAGCACCUUAAAGUUUCUGAAAUAACCUGACAAAAAGGAACUGGCUAAGUUGGUUGAACUCAGUGUUUCUCAAACUUAUUUAACCACCCAAUUCUUUCUUCAAGUGGCAAUUAUUUAUUGAUGUUUGAUGGAACAUGCUUUAGUGAACACUCCUCUUUAUGAUCUCUAACUAAUGUCCUACCUUUCUAUAACCUCCCUCAAGGAAUUUGCUGCUUGUUUUUUGUCCGACUGAGACCCAGCCUUUCUGAUUAUCUUGAAGGAUAUCUGCUCUUUUCUUGAACUGCUAGUUUAAAUGGACUCUCAUAUUGAACAUGAUUCUGUUUAAGUACUGUAGUUUUUACUUUAACUAAGGUAGUUAUGAGGGUAGAACACAAAUGAUCUAGAAAAAAUUAAACCAUUAAUUUAGAAAUAAAAUUAAUACCUAAAUAGUAGAAAUUCACAAGUCCAUGGCUGUUAAAUAAAGGGAAGACAAUUACAUUUUGAGAGCUCCUACUUUGCCCUUGAAACCAGCGGAAUGGGAUAAAAUUUAGAAAUGCAAAUUAUGCUUUGAGCUAUAUUAAUCUAACAAUCUAAAAUAGGUGGUAGAAAUGGAUAUAGAUGCAGUAAAAAAUUUGAGGAGUCUUGAGGAUGCACUAUUUCUCUUAAGUCAACAAUUUAAGAGCUUUUGGGAAGUUGAAUAUAAUCAUGUAGACUUUUUGGUGACCUCAUUUGCCUGGGCUGUACUCUUAAAGAAAGUAGAAUAAAUGGCUUCUAAUGUGUCCUUCUGGGAAUGAAAAGCAAAACGGCAAAGUGUACCUCUGAUUGAGGUGUAUUUGUAAAAGAAUCACCUAGUCAUUCAAGCAGAAGAGGACACAGGCAUAGACACAUGGUCUUGGGAUGGAUGAAUAGACAUCAUGGGUAGGGAUGGAGAGAUGAUGUGGAAAGUCAGGCUUGUCAGAGUUCACAGUAAGAAUUUGCCUCAGAUAACUACUCAGAGGAAAAAAUAUAUAUAUAUUUGCAAGUAUCUUGCUUUUACAGGUUUCUGAGAUAAAAAUCUCAGAAGAACAGCUUUGCUCGUGAGCUUUCCGAUAUUUCCACUGUGGUCCUGGCCAGAAACACUGUGAGAACACCCUUUCAUUUGGUAUUUGAGCCCUUCUGCCUCUGUUCCUGGCUGCAGACCAAAAGGAACAAACGCAACUGAACAUUUCAGAACCUCAAAAUAGUAAACCAAAAACGGUUUGCUCUGCUUUUGGUUUUAAAUAUGAUCGACCCCAAAGCCUUGUUCCAAAUGAUCUGGGGGAUCCAUCUCUAAUAUGGAUUACUGGAUUUUAGAAACCUUUGGAGGAUGGUGUUUUUAAAAUAGAUAACUAAGAACAAAGAAAACAAUCAGUCCAAAUGGUUGUAGUACAGGUGUCCGACCACCACAGCAGAGACUAGACUUAAUAAACAUAUUUUACGUUCUAGUGUAAAGUAAUUAGAAGAAGGGGAUUAGAGUUUGGAGUGGGAUAUCUGGGCUUGAAUGUUGACUUGGUUCAUGACUAGCUGAAUGUCUAUGGCGUAUUUCUGAGUCUAAGUUGUUACCUGUGAGUAAAAUUAAUAAUACAAAUGAAAAAUAAUUAUACCCAUUUUAAUUGGCUCAUUAUGAGGAGCAAAAUUAUAAAAAUACUUCUAAAAUUGGAGUGUCCAUGAUAAUAUGAAAGUCAGUAAAUCCCAGUGAUUAGAAAUUUGGACUUUACAGUUCAACACACUUAGGUUCAUAUUUCUGCCCCUCUGCUUUCUAGCUCUGUGGCCCUACAUGGGUCACUAAAAAUCUUUGACAAUCAUUUUUACCAUCUGUGAAAUGGGGUUAGUCUUGUUGGGAGAACGAAAUCAAAUAAUGCAUAUAAAAUAUUUGGCACACAGUGAAUGCUAGAAAAAUUGCUGGCUGUUAAUACAUGUAUAAAUGAUGAUCAUGGUGAUUUUAUAUACUCAUAAUUCUAGGUGCCAGUCCAAAUACAGACACAUGAGAAUGUGGAUAGAUCCUCGAGUUCUCUCCGAACCUUCCUUCCAUGAAGUUAUAUACUCUAUAGAAUCAGUGGGUGAGUUGAUUUAGGAGAGGUGCCAGUAUGAGCCUGGAGUAGCUUACUUGGUCAGAUCCAAAAUAUGGGUUUGGCUAAAUAUAGGGAUCUAGGGGAGAAGGUGGAAAACGCUUGCUGGGCCAAUGCCAAGUAUGAAGCAAUGCUGACCUUGGCAAUUUUUAGCAUCCAAUUUUCACCCGUUAAGAGAGGAAGGUUAAAAGGUAUAAAUAAAUGCAAAGGCCAUAAUAAAAUCAUUGUGGAAUUAAAACAUUAAGCCCAUGGGCUCUUAAUUAUAAAAUAGCAAUAUAUUGUUUACAAACGUUCUUAUAUUAGGGACUUAGGGAUUUCACAGGAUGCUUUUUUUCUUUUCUUUUCUUUUCAGGGACAGCAUCACUUUUGCUCUGCUGCUCAGGCUGGAGGGCAGCAGCAUGACCUUGGCUCACUGCAGCCUCCACCUCCUGGGCUCAAGCAAUUCUCCCACCUCAGCCUCCUGAAUAGCUGGAGUCUCAAUAUGUUGCCCAGGCUGGUCUCAAACUCCUACCUCAACUGAUCUUCCAACCCCAGCCUUCCAAAGUGUUGGGAUUACAGGCACAAGCCACCGUGUCUGGCCAGGAUGCUUGUCUUAAAAACAAAGAUUUACUACCAGCAACCUGGCUGGCCCAAAAUGUGACUGGCAGCUUAUUUUAUAUUCCCCAUACACAUUAAAUGUAGAAAAUUAGUAACUAUUAGAUUUGAUUAAAUAUUAAAAUGUCAUAUUGUUCAGCCAAUGAACAAAUUGUUUUCAAGCUGCUCUGGGGGGAAUGACUAGCCUGCUACCUUUUUAUGGUGUUAGUUAUAUGGUAUUUUCUCUUCCUCCCUUCAUAGUAAAAAUCCUUGAAGGCUUACUCUCCUUGAGAACACUUCCUCAUGGGUUUUUGAAUCUCCAGCUCUUUCCUCUCCCAGGUACUGAAACCAUAUUUUUCACAGGCCCCUUUACCUGCCCAAGGGUCAACUUGAUUCUUCUCCUUUGCCAUUUUGCACCAUUGACCAUGUUGAAAAUCCUUGCACUUGCUGUCUGCUGCACUCUUCUUGUAUUUUGUUUUCUUCUGAAUUCUGAUGAAUACUGUUCUGUUGUUUUAUGGUGCAUGCUCAGGGUUCUGUUCAUUAUCAUCUUCUCUUUGCCUGAUCCUUUAUCUUUAAGCAAACCCAUCCAUUCUUGCUACUCCAGUUAUCUCCUCUAUCCAACGAGCUGGGCCACCAUGAUUUUUCUCCUAAGCUUGUUAUCUUCACCUGGAUUUCCUCAAGCUCAGUAUAUAAAGCCAAAACUCUUCAAUUGUCUCUGUAAACCAGCUCUCCUAUCCCUUCCCCCUUUGUCUCAGCCAUUUGGUUUGUAUAUGGAAAUAAACCUCCUGGUGUUAAAACCUUAAAACUUCAGCAUUAUCUUUGUCUCUACACUGUUGUUUGACCUCUAGAUCCAGGAAAUACCCCAGUUUCAUUAUAAGGCCUGUCAAUUUUAUCUCACAAUGUUUUUCACACUUAUAAGCUAGAUAGACCGAAGCAAGGGUCGGUGUGCACAUUCUCUGUGAUGCUCAUUCUUAUGUUCUCAAGAUAGUUGCUUGAACUCUAGCUGCAGCUUCUGCAUUUCAGGUAGAAAGGAAGAGGAUGAUCACAGAAUCAAAGGGCAUCUGCCAACUGAAUCUGCCACCCUUUAAGGGGAGCAUUCCUGAAAGCAACAUGUAAUAAUCUUUGCUGACAUUGAAUUGAGCAGGGUAGUGUCGCAUGACCACUCUGAUCUACAAGGGAGGCAGAGAAAUGGAGUUCAAAAGAUCGGGACACAGUGCUGUUUCAAUAAAUGGGAGUUAUAUUGGAAAGGACGAAAGUGCAAAAUGUUUUGGGGUGGGCAAUUGACAGUCUCUACACACCUUUUUUCUUAACUUUCCUAUGUUUACUUGAAAUAAAUUUCCACUGACUUUGAAUAAAACACUCCUUGUUUUCCACCAUCAUCAUCUAACUUGACAUCUUCACUGUCCUUUUGCUUAGAUUUUUACAAAGCCAAGUGGACUCUGUGUGCCUCUACUUCACUGCUACCGAGAGGUGAAGUCAGCUGGGCUUCUGGGUGGGGUGGAGACUUGGAGAACUUUUCUGUCUAGCUAGAGGAUUAUAAACACACCAAUCAGCACUCUGUAGAAAUGCACCAAUCAGCGCUCUGUGUCUAGCUAAAGGUUUGUAAACGCACCAAUCAGCACUCUGUAAAACGGACCAAUCAGCACUCUGUAAAAUGGACCAAUCAGCAGGACAUGGGCAGGGCCAAAAAAGGGAAUAAAAGCUGGCCACCUGCACCAGUAGCGGCAACUCCCUCAGGUCCCCUUCCAUGCUGUUGAGUUUUGUUGUUUCGCUCUUUGCAAUAAAUCUUACUGCUGUUCACUCUUUGGGUCCGCACUGCCUUUAUGAGCUGUAACACUCAAACUGCGAAGGUCUGUGGCUUCACUCCUGAAGUCAGUGAGACCAUGAACCCACCAGCAGGAAGAAAUUGGACACAUCUGAAGAAACAAACUCCAGACACACCAUCUUUAAGAGCUGUAACACUCACUGCAAAAGUCCGCGACUUCAUUCUUGAAGUCAGCGAGACCAAGAACCCACAGGAAGGAAUAAAUUCCAGACACACUACUACUGUCCCUGUUCAUUAAUCUAUUUAUUCGGCAAGAAAAUAUUGAUAACAGGCACUGUCCUGUGUACUAGAGAUGGACAGAAUCAUGACUUUUGGCUUCAGGGCCUCACAGUUCAGUUGGAGAGAGCAACAUGGCACCAGUUGAUUCCAGGGCAACACAAUUAGUGACAUAACAGAGACAGAUGAAAGGGAUUGCAGAAGCAGAGAGAGCAUCCUGACUAAUUGAAUCUGCAAAUGGUGAAGAAGCCCUUCCAGGGGUGAUGCUGUGAGCUGAAUUGUGUAUUAGUAGGAAUUUCUCGGUUCAACACACAGAGAAAUAACAAGUUUUCUGUUGUAAACUAUUCCUUACUAAUUAAAAACAAAGUGGUUAUAUUCUUGACCUGACUCUGAAUUUAAUUUUUUAAGAAUGUAAUCAUAAGUGAAGCAACUUUAAAUAUAGCAUUAUAGGGCACAGUAUUGAUAAAUGAGAGGAAAACUUUUUCUUAAAGAGUGUACCACUCACUUACCAUGCCCUGAAAUUAACUGAGAACUCAUUUGUCAAGAGAGCACCUACCCUAUAGAGAAUUCUUCCAAUUAACAUCAAAAGCGAUCAUUCUUAACCUCUCAUGCAUUAAGAAAAUCUUGUCUGCACCCAAUGUUCUGUUCAUAAUCAAUGAAGCCCCUUAUGUAUGUUAUUGCAAAUUUAUCACCUUGUAUAUUACUAAAAUGGAUGAAUUAAUAAAUGAAUCUGCUGUAGGUCCAGAAGCCAGAUUUAUCUGUUGUCUCCUGGUUCUCAUGGGAUUUUCCUUUGGUCUCCAAGACAUUUCACUCUGCACUUUCUCAUAGUUUGGGAUAUUUAUUGAUAGCUACUGACAGUAUGAGUUGGUACUCAUAGACUCACCAUGGCUAUAUCAGAAAAGUGGUUUUGAGGGGGAUUAGUUAAAUUCUAAAAAUGUCAGCCAAGUGACUCUCAGGCUAUGCUAAAAAGGCAGUGCAAGUGUUGUGCUAUAUCAGUUCUAACAGUAUCAUAUUGCUAUAAAAAGCAUACAUCAAGAUAAAUGAUGCUUAACAUUGGUGAGGUCAUGGUAAGCUUGACACAUUCAUAAACAUUAGUUAAAGAGUAAAAUAGUGCAACAUUCCUGGAGGCCAAUCUCAUGAUAUGAAAUUAGAAUAGAUUAGGAUAUAUUCUUAGGAUCUGAGCCUUCUUUCCACCUGUAAGGAUCUAGGCAAGGCUGGGUGUAGAAGGAUGGCCAUUGAAGUAUUACAUAAACUGCAGAAUACCCAUGAGCUAGAACACUAUGUACUAAUCAAAAUUGGUGCUUUCUGAUAAUUUUGAUUACAUGGAAAAGUGCCCACUAUGUUCAACGAAUAAGAAGAAAAACAGUUGUAUCAAAGUCUGAUCCAUAUGUAGGGAUACAUCUAUCACAUAUGCAUACACAUCUUUCAAAUGAUUUGCAUCAGGAUGCUAACAAUAGUCUAAGUUUAGGUGAUUUGUAUUAUCAUCUUUAAAGUUCUCUAAAUUUUAUAAAUUUCUAAUCCAUGCAUGAGUUUCACAAUUAGAAAUAAAUUGCUGUUUUUUUUGUUUUGUUUUGUUUUUUUGUUUUUUGGAAUGCAGUGGUGCGAUUACAGCUCACUGCAGCCUUUACCUCCUGGGCCCGAGUGAUACUCCCACCUCAGUCCCAUGAGUAGCUGGGACCACAGGUGAUAUGGUUUGGCCGUGUCCCCACUCAAAAUCUCAUCUUGAAUUGUGGCUCACAUAAUUCACAUUUAUUGUGGGAGGGACCUAGUAGGAGGUAGUUGAAUCAUAGGGGUGGGUAUUUUGCAUGAUGUUCUCAUGAUAGUGAAUAAGUCUCAUGAGAUCUGAUGGUUUUAUAAAGGGGAGUUCCUGUGCACAUGCUCUCUCUUGUCUGCCGCCAUGUAAGAUGUGACUUUGCUCCUCUUUUGCCUUCUGCCAUGAUUAUGAGGCCUCCCCAACCAUGUGGAACUGUGAGCCAAUUAAACCACUUUUCUUUAUAAAUUGUCUAGCCUUGGGUAUAUCUUUAUUAGCAGCAUGAGAACUAAUACAAGAAGUACGUGCCACCACACCUUGCUAUUUUUUUAUUCGUGUAGAGACGGAGUUUUGCCAUGUUCAAGCCCAGGCUGGUCUCGAACUCCUGGGCUCAAGUGAUCCUCCCACCUUAGACUCUAAAAAUUCUGGGAUCACAGGUGUGAGACACUUUGCCUGACCAGAAAUUAAUCACUCUUAAGAGGAAAACUAAAAAGGACCAUGUAGUAGAAGAUGAAGAGAUUAUUUAUAGGUAUUUUUUAUAUGUAUACAUUCUACAUGGCUAAUUCUCAGACUCAUAUACCGUGUGAGGUCAAUUUCACUAAGGGGCUCAGCACACACUCUGGCCGGGGAGGGUGCUCCAGGCUUUGAGCCUAACUGCCUGCCAUCACUCUCUCCCCUCCCAUGCCAUUCUCCAGGCUGCCAUCAGAUUUCUCUUUCCAAAGCAUAGCUAUUGUCCUGUUAUUCUCUCUCUGGAAACAUUGUUAAAACCUGUUAUCCUCUCUGGAAACAUUGUUAAAACCUUCCCAAUUGUGCACAGAAUACAUUCUCCCCCUCCGCUUGGCUCCAGUUCACGUCCUCAGUCUGAUAUCCCUCACAUCUCUCAAUCCUCCUGCACUCCAGCACAAUAGAGCUACCUUCAUGACACUCUUCACCUCCCCCUGCCCACCACUUUACCCUCAUUUUUGCUUGUCCUACCCGUUCUUUCAAGCCCUGCUCAAAUUCCCAGAGUGACCACUCUGAAUUAAUCUUUCCCUCCAUUAUUUCCUCUUUGUACUUUAUUGAUCUCUUUUAUUGCAUUAAUCAGAAUUUUACUUGUAUUAUGGUUCCUUGUGUCUUUCUGUUCUUAUAUUGAUUUUUAGCUACCCAAAUCAUAUCUUCAUUCAUAAUCUUUAUGGAGUGGUUCUCAAACAUUAGCACAUAUCACAAUCAUCUGAGGGUUCAUUAAAACAGAUUGCUGGACUCCAUCCCUGGUGUUUCUAAUUCAAUACAUCUGGGGUGGGGCACGAGAACUGGCAUUUCUAAUAAAUCCCCAGGUGAUGCUGCUGCCGCCCCAGUAUGGCAACCACACUUCGAGCACCACUGCUUUUCAAAAAUGGGAAACAAUGAACUAACAUAAAUGAACUUGAUAUAGUACAUAGGGAAUGGAAGUUCACAGGUUAGGAUUUAGAAUCAGAGGCUUGGGUUUGAAUUCCAGUUCUGCCACUUAAUGCUUCAACAAGUUAUUUAAUCCCUCUGAAUCUUCAUUUUCUUGCCACAAAAAUUGGGAUAUUAUUACAGUAAGUCCUCAAUGUCACCCAUAGGUUCUUGGAAAUCGUGAAUUUAAGCAAAAUGAUGCAUAAAAAAAAAAUCUUACCAUGGGCUAAUUCACAUACUCAAGAGUUAAGGGCCUAGGAAGUACUUCUGGUCACAAAAACAUCAAACUUCUAAAUAAAAACUAAAACACGGCCAGGCGUGGGGGCUCACACCUGUAAUUCCAGCACUUUGGGAGGCCGCGGUGAGCAGAUUGCCCAAGCUCAGUAGUCGAAGACCAGCCUAGGCAACACGGUGAAACCCUGUCUCUACUAAAAUACAAAAAAAAAAAAAAAAAAAAAAAAAAAAAUUAGCCAGGUGUGGCAGCGUGCGCCUGUAGUCCCAGCUACUCAGGAGGCUAAGGCAGGAGAAUCACUUGAACCCAGGAGGCGGAGGUUGCAGUGAGCCGAGAUUGUGCCAUUGCACUCCAGCCUGGGUGACAGAGCGAGACUCCAUCUCAAAAACAAAACAACAAAAAACAAAAAACCCUAAAACACUUCUAAUAUUAAACAUUGAAAUAAAUGCAAUUACACAUAUAUUUAAGAAAGAUUAAUAAACACAAAUAAGCUCAUUAUUUAAACGCUUUUUCCAAUUCAGGGUUAGGAGUGAUCAGAGCCCAUCCCAGCAGCUCGGGACAUAAGGUUGGAACCAGCCCUGGGCAGGAUGUCAUCCCAUUGCAGGGGGCACCUAUACCCACCCACGCUUACACUCCCUCACACUGGUGAGAGGUGAAGCCGGCUGGGCUUCUGGGUCGGGUGGGGACUUGGAGAGCUUUUCGGUCUAGCUAAAGGAUUGUAAACACACCAAUCAGCACUCUGUGUCUAGCUAAAGGUUUGUAAACAGCACCAAUUAGCACUCUGUAAAAACGCACCAAUCAGCGCUCUGUGUCUAGCUAAAGGUUUGUAAAGACACCAGUCAGCCCUCAGUAAAAAUGGACCAAUCAGCACUCUGUAAAAUGGACAAAUCAGCGCUCUGUAAAAUGGACAACUCAGCAGGAUGUGGGCGGGGCCAAAUAAGGAAAUAAAAGGUGGACACCCCGGCUAGCAGCAGCAACUUGCUUUGGGUCCGUUUCCACGCUUUGGUCUUUCUCUCUUGGCAGUAAAUCUUGCUGCUCCUCACUUUUUGGGUUAGUACUACGUUUAUGAGCUGUCACACUCACCGGGAAGGUCUACAGCUUCACUCCUGAAGCCAGUGAGACCGUUAACCCACCAGGAGGAACGGGCAACUCAGACCGCGCCACCUUUAAGAGCUGUAACACUCACCGCGAAGGUCUGCGGCUUCACUCCAGAAGUCAGCGAGACCACGAAUCCUGCGGGAGGAACGAACUCCGACCGCGCCACCUUUAAGAGCUGUAACACUCACUGCGAAGGUCUGUGGCUUCACUCUUGAAGUCAGCAAGACCACGAACCCACCAGAAGGAAGAAACUCCGGACACAUCUGAACAUCUGAAGGAACUCGGGACACGCCAUCUUUAAGAACUGUUAACACUCACUGCGGGGGUCUGCGGCUUCAUUCCUGACGUCAGCGAGACCAAGAACCCACCGGAAGGAACCAGUUCCAGACAUACUGGGACCGUGUGGAUACGUCGGUAAACCUGACAUGCACAUCUUUAGGAGAUAGCUGGAGAAAACCCAUGCAGAUUGUGGGUUUAUCCCCAGCUGGGGAUAGAUUUUUUUUCCCCAUCAAUAUUGUAAAGAAAACUGAAUGAAUUAGUUAUUCAAGAACCAGCUGUACCUCUUACAUAGGGUUGUCCCGAGGGCUAUGAGAGAUCAUGUUUGUAAAGUGCCCAAGAAGCAGUGGCUACUAUUAUUACUAACUUGCUUUUUCUGUGCAGUAACUUUAUAAGAUAAAUUUUGCCACAGUUUUAUAGAUGAAGAGACUGAGGCAAAUGGAGGUCCCUUAAUUUACCAGAAGUCUUCUACCUUAAGAAAGACAAGACUCGGAUUCUAAUUUAAGUCAUUUUGAUACAUUCUACUCUCCCCACCACAGCAUAUUAAAUGUAAUGCACACUCAAAAAUACUGGGUUUUUUUUUUGUUUUUUUUUUUUGAGACAGAGUUUCGCACUUUUUGCCCAGGCUGGAGUGCAAUGGCGCGACCUUGGCUCCACCUCUUGGGUUCAAAUGAUUCUCCUGCCUCAGCCUUCUGAGUAGCUGGGAUUACAGGCAUGCAUCAGCACGCCUGGCUAAUUUUGUAUUUUUAGUAGAGAUGGGGUUUCUCCAUGUUGCUCAGGCUGGUCUCGAACUCCUGACUUCAGGUGAUCCUCCCACCUAGGCCUCCCAGAGUGUUGGGAUUAUAGGUGUGAGCCACUGCGCCUGGCCUGGAUUUCUCUAUUUGUUUAUGCGAAAUCGUCUACUGGCAUUACCAUCUCUCAAAACAUUUUCCUGGACUUUUAACUAAAGAUUUUUUCCAUUGUAAUGGGCACAAGUGCAAUUUCCCUUUCAUUUUAAGAGACUGUGAGAAGUAACAAAUCAGGUAAGUAAAAUUAUUAAAGAAGGAACUAGCACUUAAAAAAUAUAAUUUAUAAAACCAAGUUGCCUAAGAGAAGCGUCAGCUUACAAGACUUUGUUACUUCAUGGCAUUAAUAGUUUCAGGAACAUUAUAAUACAUAGUUUAAUUUUCUUUGGUGUUUGUCGUGUUUGGGGGGUGGAGGUACUUUUUUCUUAUAGAUUUUAUGAUAAUAACUUGGUUUUAAUAGCACUUUUGAAUUUGCUAGACACUAAAACAAAGACCAUUUUAUAAAUUGAAAAUUCACUUGUGUGAACACUAAAUGCUGGGAUUUGAUUUCUUUGUUUCUAUAGAAACAAAAGAAAGUUGAGAUUAAAAUAAGCUAAAAUGGAAUUACAUUUUAUGAAACAGUAAAGAAGCUUAUUUUACUUGUUUCCAUUGUAGUGUGGUGAAAUAAAAUUUUUAUUUAAAACCCAAGCUGUCUGUGGGCCCUUCUGCCUUCUGAGAAAAAGUUCCCUUGGAACAGGGAGUGGCAAGAUUUAUAUAUUGAAAAAAAAAAAAAAGCCAGUCUGUUUGCUAUUUCAUUCCAAUUUGAGAAAUUGCUGGUGAUGGUUUGGAGGGUAUAGGGGAAGAUGAAGAGUGUUUUCAAUGUGAAAACUUAAGCCAGUGCUCUCUAUAUUGUUCAAAUAGUGAGAGCAGGUUUAGCAGAGACAGUAAUGUUAAUGUCUUUGGGUCCGUAAUAACAGCCCAGUAGGAUAAUAGGUCAAAGAACCGACAUUCUCUGUGAUAACAGGAAGGAAGGAGAUCCAGACCAUCCUGACUAACAUGGCGAAACCCCGUCUCCACUAAAAAUACAAAAAUUAGCCUGGUGUGGUGGCAUGCACCUGUAAUCCCAGCUACUUGGGAGGCUGAGGCAGGAGAAUCCUUUGAACCUGGGAGGCGGAGGUUGCAGUUAGCCGAGAUUGUGCCAUUGCACUCCAGCCUGGGCAACAAGAGCAAAACAGCAUCUCAAAAAACAAAAAAACAGAAAAACAAAAAACAAAUACAGAAACAAAAACCACUAGGCACGAAGACAGUUGCAAAGGUGAGGCCUGGAAAGAGGGUCUCAUGAGUAUUCGUGGAUCCAUUUGUUUCUGAGGCCCAAUUGCUUUCUUGUAGUUGGAUAACUAUUUUGAGAAUGAAGAAAAAUUCUUUCCAAUCCAUUCCCAUUUUGUCAAUUUAGUUCAAGAUAGGGUUGUUCCUAUUUUGAGAGAAUUGUUCUUCACUGUGCCACAUGUAAUCCUUUACCUGGAGUGCCUUCCCUCUCUUGACUUCUUACUGACUCCGUGAUCCUGUGCAGGGAGGGCGCAGUGUGUAUUCUCAUGCUUGCAUUUACAUGGGCUCUGAUUUUUUUCUUUUUUUCUACAUAUGUGGCAUGGAUAAUUUGAUAGAGAAUCUAAUAUUUUUACAAUAAGAUAAUACUGAAUCUAUCUUUAAUCUGAAUCUUUGCUCAAUAAGAACAUAUGAGAGUUGCAAAAAAAAAAUGUUAAAAAAGAUGGAAGACCUAAAUCCACCUUGAAGCAUAAACAGUGGUGUUACUUUAAGAAAAGCACGUGGCAGCCCUAAUAACGUCUGUAAUAGUAUAGAAAAGCACCUCCACGUCUCAUUCUUUUAGACAAUAUGGUCCAGUGGGAAAAGUUUUGGCUCUAAAGAAUACUAUUCUCUAGCUUCGUGAUAUGUUCAUUCCACUGUUCUUGAUCUCAAUCGGAGGUUCUGCAUAAUGGAAUUCAUAAUUUUGUUCUAUCAAACCUGCAAAACAGUACCAGCACCUAUAGAUAGCAUGUUGUAGAAAAUGGCAAGAAUAUGUAUAAAAAUGGAAAUGGAUCCUAACCAUCUCACCUUACUUGCUCCUAGAGAAGUCCAACAGGUGAGUUGGAAUAAUUUAUUUUUUCUUCCCCAGUCAUACAGGACUAGUUACAAUGGAUGCACUUUUCUGUUUUGUCCAAUAGUAAACAAUCUGAAAUGUAACUUAAAAUACAGUUUUCCUAUAAAUUAUAAAAAGUUCUGAGAAAAACUCAUUUAUCUAAUGGUCACUGGAUAUCCAACACUGUGCUGUCAAGGGUUUCCUUAGCAAGAGGUGAUCAAAUCAGGAAGAUAAACCAAGUAGAAGUGAAACCACUUUUGACCAAAACCUGUGUCUAACUGUAUAUAAGAUGUUGAUCAGGAUGUGUUUGGCAGCCAAUAGAAAUGUUAAUUCAGCUGGUUUAAAUGAUUAGGACUUUUAUUAUCUAAUAUAAUAAAGUUUGGAGGUAGGACGGUAAGUAUCUCUGAGUGUGGCUUCUUCAGCAGUUCAAUGGCAUAAUCAAAAAUUGAAGACUUUUUUUUCUGCUCUGUUAUUCUCAAGGUGAUGGUCUUGUUUUCCCAAGCUGCUACAGAGCUUCUGCAGCUCCAAGCAUGACCACUAUAUUUGGCUGCUUAAAAGCAUAACAAGGGCAGAAAUCAUAAAGGCUUUGCCCAGAGGGCCUUGAUUGUCCUUGCCUUCUUGUCCUUUGGUGAGAACUUCAUUGGUGGUGGCUCCAAAAAUCAGGAGACUUUCUGUGAUGAAUUCACCAUAAGAACGUGGGACCCAGCCUCCCUUGAAGGACGUCCUAUAUGAUGCCUGUUUCCAAGGGAAGAAGUAAAGUCAAGAAACAAGAUAUCCUCAAGCUACUCUUAGGAUCAGUGUCUGCAUAGAUCUGGCACACAGAAAUGCAAGGAAACAAUUUGUGCAAAGCAUUAAAAAAAAAAGGGGGGACCCUGAGAGUAUAACAAGUGCUCCUGAGAGAGGACAGACGGAGAGGACGCAUGGGCAGGGAUGGCCGCCCUGAGCAGCUGAUGUUCGAGCUAAGAUCUGAAAGGUGCAUGAUUUCCCACUUACCUCCCGCAACCACUACCACCCACGUUGUCCACAGUAUUCAGCUGUCUCAGGGAGGAUCACAAUUAUUCUAAUGGGACUGCAAAGAGUGAAGGACACAGCUUUUAACAUCAGAUUCGAAUCCUACAAUUUGGAACCCAUGGGCACUUCUAGAUUGGAUCUUGCAGAGAUUUUUUACAACAGAAAUAAUGGAAAGGCAAAAGAAAACAUUGAGUAAUAACCAACCCAAGCAAGUCCAGCCUCUUUCUGCAGAAGAGGAAAAAAAAAACAGAUUUCAAAUGUGCCCGUGGACUUCGAGCUGGUGCGUUCAGUGGCAAAGCUGGAAUUCAAAUCUCAGGGCUCCUGCUCUGGGCUUCUUCUCCAUGAAACUUGGAGGAAAAGAAAAAGGAAGACACUCUUACUGGUCAGAGGAGAGAACACAAUUCCUUCAGUGGAACCAGUAAUUCAAGCUACUGCAUAUGCCAAUUAAAGACCAAUCUGGGGAAAGGUGGAUGCCCUGGGCUCCAUCUGCCAUUCAACCACUGAUUACGGCCUUGUACGGAUGGACUUUCAGCAGCAGGAACCCAAAAUCAUUGGUGAAAUAGGAAAGCUAUUGUACAGAUAUUAGAAAAAUAAGACCUUCACAGUCAUCAGAAAAGUUAUCACUUAAUGUCAUGUGUCAUCAGUCCUUUCUUGUGAUUGAUUAUGUUUGUAUACAUGCACUUGAAAUGUGUUUUUAAAAGAGUAUUAUAAGAGAUAUUUUUCCAGUAAGUACAAUAAGCAUUCAAUAGUAGAACAAAUAGAACAUUGAUAUCUCAUUAUUAGUAUUGCUCACAUGUGUAUUAUGAGGCAGAAUUAAAGCUGAAAUGCAAUAAGAGCCAUAUUUUAUCAUAAUAGAUAUUUUUCAUUUUCUGAAAUAAUAUAAUAAAAUAAUGUGGUUGGUUAAAGUAUGUACACACAGGCUAUCAAUUAAGAUGUUUUAAAUUUAAUUAAAUAUUAAAUAAUAAAAGCCACAAGGGGAAGUAAGGGAAGUAAGACAAUUCUUUCUUUAACAUACAACACAUUUAAAUGUUUUCUGAUAAUUAUAGAAAUAUCAAAAUCAGAUCAAUCUUCAUACCUCAGAAAAUUAAAUGAUUAAAUACUGGAGACUAUUAAAACAAAUAAAACUGUUUAUUCCACAACUUUGCACAGCUAAAAAAAAAUCUUCUAUCAUGUCUAGAAACAUGUUUCUGACAUAUGCACACCUCACCAGCAUAUCUCAGGUUAUUAUACACCUCCAACCACAGCCUCACGGUGGCAGGCAGUCAGUAAGAUGGACCCCAGUGAUCCCUGCCUCCUGGUAUUCACAGUCUAGGGUAAUCUCCUUCCCUUGAGUGUGAGCCUGUGGCUUACUUCUAACCAAUAAGAGUACAGCAAAAGCAAUGGGAUGUCAAUUCUGUGAGUAUGUAAAAUUGUAACUUCCAUCUUGCAAGCCAACUCUCUUCUUUGCUGGCUUUCAUGACGCAAUAUACCAUGUUGGAGGGGCUCGCGUGGCGAAGAACUGAGAGGCCUGUAGGAACAAAGUCCAAUAGCCAGGUAGGAAGGAGUCCCUCAGUCCCACAACCCAAGGAAACUGAAUUCUGUCAACUAACACGCAUGUAAGUGAGCUUGGAAGUGACUUCUUCCCCAAGUGAGUCUUCAGAUGAGGUCCUAGCCAACUUUUUGAUUGCAGCUUGUGACAGACCCUGAAGCAAAGGACUCAGCUAAGUUGUGUCCUAAUUCCUCCACUGUGAGAAAAUAAAUGUGUGUUUUUUAAAAUGCUAAAUUUGUGGUAAUUUCUUAUUCAGUAAUAGAUAGCUAAUACAUGCGUGUACAUACAAACACACGCACACACACUGUAUUUGGCUUUCACACUGAGGAGAACACAGUUAGUAGGCCCUUUUCAUGUGGCUUUUAAGGAGGCAUAAUUACUUUUCUUCGUCUGUGAUCCACCUUUGUGUUCUUCAGGUUCUUUUCCAGGCCUUUGCCCCGAGUGUGUGGGGGACCAAAGGGACGUCAUGCUAUAUGGAUGGUAUUGCAAAUUCAUAUCCUUGGAUCUGAAAGUAGUCCUAGAACAUAUCCUAAGGAGAUCAUCUAUCAAGAUUAGAGAAUUUCCUUCAUGAUGUUGUUUAUCGUGGCAAAACUAGGAACAACCUGAAUACCAGUCCCUCCAAGAAGCUAUUGAAUAAUAUGGGUAUCCCUGUUCAGGAAAAAUGCAAACAAACCACUAAAAAGAGUAAAAUAAUCUUUAUUGAUAUGAAAAGAUGUUUAAUGUUUACUAUUACAUUUUUAAAAGAAGUUAAAAAUCUCAUUAAAAACUAGUUUAAAAUCCACUCUUAUUCCAUGCUUGUAUUAUAGAUAAUAUAUAUGUAGUUUUUUUUAAGUAGAAAAAUUUCUGGAAAAACACUUAUUAAAAUGCUAUUUGUUUUCUAUGAAUAGAGUAAAACCAGAUAAGUGAAAGAAAAUACCCGUGUUUUCUAUAUUUUCUACGAUGUUUAUUCCUGAAUAGAUGUUUCAAGGCUUUCAUUAUGUUCAUAGAUUAAUUGAAGUGAAUGGAAACUGUUUCUUAGACAACCUAAAAUAUAUCCCAAUUCCAAAGUCCAGGUCUGUCUUCAUUGCUUCGAGUGCAGUUGUAUGAAAUACUUCUCAGUGAGGCCAAAUUUCUUAAUAAUGAUUAAUUCCAGUUUCAUUUUUCACCCUCUUCAUUCCAUUUGAGAAGAGUAGUGGAAAGGAGUAUGGUACCAUACCCCACACUUUAGACCUAUGGUCUUGUAGAACUUCUUAGGGAUCUACUUUGAUAAAAAUUUAAUUUGCUGGUUACAUCAGAUGAUGUCACACAGUUAAUGAGCAUUCUCUCCUAUGCUGUACCUUCUCUGUUCUACUAAUAUAGCUAUGGUCAAUUUUUCUAUCAUGGAGAAGAAUCUGUGGAUAACUCCUACUAUUUUUCUGGAAGUAAAAAUUUAACUGUUAUGUCGUAGAAAAUUCAAAUAUAUAUGAUUCCUUUGUAUAAACUAUGUACACAUAUGAUUAAUCCAUUGAUUAACACCUGUUUUCAGUAAUGUUAAUGCCAUCUUGAUCAUAACAUUUAAUUAAAAGGUGACAAAUGUUAGUUAAGUAAGCUGGAUACUGUACUCAAUAAAUAUAUAUGCUUUUAGAAACAUUAAAACACAUGCUAUCACCAAACCACAUAAGUGGUGCCCUUUGAAAACUAAAU